rnacentral:rRNA from 1 species
UGAGUAACCUGCCCUGGACUUUGGGAUAACCCUCGGGAAACGGGGGCUAAUACCGGAUAUGACGCACUCUCGCAUGGGAUGUGUGUGGAAAGUUUUUCGGUCUGGGAUGGGCUCGCGGCCUAUCAGCUUGUUGGUGGGGUGAUGGCCUACCAAGGCGACGACGGGUAGCCGGCCUGAGAGGGCGACCGGCCACACUGGGACUGAGACACGGCCCAGACCUCCGUACGGGAGCA